UACGGAGGGAGCUAGCGUUAUUCGGAAUUACUGGGCGUAAAGCGCACGUAGGCGGCUUUGUAAGUUAGAGGUGAAAGCCUGGAGCUCAACUCCAGAAUUGCCUUUAAGACUGCAUCGCUUGAAUCCAGGAGAGGUGAGUGGAAUUCCGAGUGUAGAGGUGAAAUUCGUAGAUAUUCGGAAGAACACCAGUGGCGAAGGCGGCUCACUGGACCGGCAUUGACGCUGAGGUGCGAAAGCGUGGGGAGCAAACAGG
rnacentral:rRNA from 1 species